UCCCCAGUGGCUCAGAUGGUAAAGCAUCUGCCCGCAAUGCAGGAGAUCUGGGUUCUAUCCCCAGGUGGGGAA
rnacentral:tRNA from 1 species